rnacentral:rRNA from 1 species
GACGAACGCUGGCGGCGUGCUUAACACAUGCAAGUCGAACGGAAAGGCCCCCUUGUGGGGUACUCGAGUGGCGAACGGGUGAGUAACACGUGAGUAACCUACCCUUGACUUUGGGAUAACUUCAGGAAACUGGGGCUAAUACCGGAUAGGAGCUCCUGCUGCAUGGUGGGGGUUGGAAAGUUUCGGCGGUUGGGGGUGGACUCGCGGCUUAUCAGCUUGUUGGUGGGGUAGUGGCUCACCAAGGCUUUGACGGGUAGCCGGCCUGAGAGGGUGACCGGCCACAUUGGGACUGAGAUACGGCCCAGACUCCUACGGGAGGCAGCAGUGGGGAAUAUUGCACAAUGGGCGGAAGCCUGAUGCAGCAACGCCGCGUGCGGGAUGACGGCCUUCGGGUUGUAAACCGCUUUCGCCUGUGACGAAGCGUUAGUGACGGUAAUGGGUAAAGAAGCACCGGCUAACUACGUG